CACCACUGGGCAGGGUCAGUACCAAAGACACAGACACCAACUUAAGGAAUCCUGUAAUUUAUAUAAUUCACAGCUGCAAAGAAUUACAAAAGGAUAAGCUUAGCAAAGCACAUAAUCAUUAGCAAAGAAUUACAAAAGAAGCUCAGCAAUCCAUCCAGUCAUUACUAACAAAGAUUGCCUGCAGUGAUUAAAGAAAGAUCCACCACCAGUUACCCUCAGACUUUACCAUCACCCAGAUCCACACAUCAGCUGGGGCAGACAAGGACUGCAGAGCCACUCCCAGACACUGGGAAUUCCUGCAGGUGCCUCCACCUUUGCAGGCAAGGAGCCUCCAAGCCCGCUGUGAGAGGACACAGCUUUUGUACCGUCAAACAAACAAGCUGACAUCACUGCUAGGGUGGGAACAUCUGGUUUCAUUCUCCUGACUGGUUUCUCCCAAAGCCUGGCCAGGGCUCAAGGAGGAAUCAAGGGAGUUGACUUUGAUCCUUCACCCCUAGACAAGGCCAGAUGGGGCCUUGUCUGGUUUCUGAAUACAGAAAGAGAAAUCCAUGUUUUAUCAAGGAACACAUUCACUGAUCAUGUUGUUAAUAAUGCUUUGUUAGUGAGUGGAUACAAAUAUAACAUUUGCUUGGAAGGCUCAUCUAGAGGUGAACUUUGCCUCAGGGCCUGUUCAGGCCUUGAUCCCAGCCUGUUCAGGCCUUGCUACUUGGAUGGGCCCUGAGAGCUACAAUGAAGUACAACCUUCAUAACCAUUCUUUCAAUAACACAGUUUAGAUUUAGAUAUUAGGCAUAAACGCAUCUCCCCUUGUGCUUCAAAUAAGUGCUGUUACAUUUCAUUACUCAGAGCUAUUCACAUUCCUUUUCAAACAUGCCUAAAGAGUUGCUACUAUUCUCUCUUAUUUAUCAAAUGCCUCUCUCUUCUUGAGACUGUCUCUUUUAAGACAAGUCUCAAUAUUCCACUUCCCAGCACAAAGCGUCACAACAACUGGAACAUGGAAUGUUAGCGUGCACACCAAGUGCACACACUGCAAUGAUGACAGACACUGCCACAAAUGCAGCCUCCAAUUUGGCAGCCAUGAAGCCAAUCCCACCAAGAAUAAUUUUCUUCUUUCUGCCACUCUUCUCCUGCUCUUUCUGUCAAGGUGAUUGCUGACUGUUGGCCUUCAAACCCAUCACUGACAGCAGUGCAACAUUCCUGUCCCAUGACAGCCCAGGCUCCUCCUUGGCCAGCAAGCAGAUAAUCCAAGGCCAUGUGGUUCUGUGGAGUCCCCAUUUGCGUUUGUUGGAGCCCAUAGGAUGUGCUACCGGACAUUUUAACAGCAUCAUUUGCUACUUCUUCUAAUAAUCCAUCCAGUCAACUCCAUGGUACGGGGCAGCACACAUGGGGCACAGGAUGAACCAGAAUCUUUUGCUUUCUGAAACCCAAGGCACUCCUUGGGGGGAAAAUGUUCUCUGGGCUCCAGGUCUUCCUUGUGGUUGUUGCUGAAGGACCCUAAAUGGUGGCCCUGCAGCCAGGAGUGGGGUAACACUGACACUGACACUGACCAAGCUCCAGCAGCCCAAGUUCUACUGGCAUUGGGAGUGAUGGUAAGGCACAGAAAUCCUCUCACACUGUGGCCUCUGUAAUUAGAACAGGCUUCGGUUUCUCCUGAAGGGAAAUCUUAGUGAAUCCUGUCAAAUGGAUCAUUGUAUUCCUGUGUUUUCUUGAACUGUCCCUUCAUUGACAGUUACGAGUCAGAGCCCAUAGACUGAGUUCUGGCCAGCCCACAGGGUGGGCCCUCCAAGGGAACCCCAUUCCUCCCAACUUCAGCUGAGAGCAAACACAGAAAUUAGUGACAUGGAGUACUUCGGCUACCCUGAUCUUGAAAUUUUCAGAACCAAUCAUUAAAUUUUGAUGACUAAUCCCUUGGUGAAACACCGGAGGUGUUUGUGGCAAACAAAGAUUCUGGCUGACUUAUCAAGGUACAACAUACAGACACCAAUAGUACUUUAGUGACACUGUUCUUCGUUCUUUUCGCUCAAUCUCAUUUGAGUAAGGAACAAUAAUUCUGUUGUCCAUGGAGCUGGAGCCUUUUUAAUUCCAGAAGAAUGCCUCCAAGGUCCUUUGCUGUUCAGCUUUACCAUGUUGUCUGUGGCUAACAAGGCUUGGUGGGGCCCUUUCCCCUUUGGCUGGAAGGGGGCUGGGGCCCAGUCCCUGAGGGGCACCCAGGCUCCUGGAUGGAAUUUGUGUGCAAGUCCCUCAGUGCCACAGCAGCAUUCACAGGGAGCCCUGUGGAUCAGAGCAUUUUCCAAAGGGGCCACUGGGGCAAACAAGAUUUGGUCUGGCAGGAUGUGUAAAACAGCAUCCUGUAAUAUCUACUUGUUCUCAAACAGAACACUUGGCUGCAGGGACAUAUUCCCAUUGUUCCUGCCCAGGUUUCAGGAUUCAGUGUUGUCUUUCCUAGGAGCUGCUCCUUCAGCUGCCUCAGGAGGCCCUUUUGGUCUCCGGGCCCUCACUCUGGCUCCAUUGUUAGGACUGCUGGAUCCAAACCCUUUAUCUCCACAAAUGGUAAUGACUGGAGGUGCAUCUCCAUUAUUCAUAAUCGUGCUUAAAAUUGCAAUAUCAAUAAUUGUGCUACCCUGUCAUGGGGUUGAAUAACCCAAUCUUACUGACAAUUAUUUAACAGAAUUACUGUAAUUUCUCCUUUAUAUUCAGCAUCAAUUCCUCCUUUCCUCCUGCCAUGACAUGAACAUUUUGCAAGGCCAACCCCCACCGAGCAGUUACCAAACCAAAGUGUCCUGGAGGAAUCUGAAUUCCUGUCUCAGUACUGACAGCUUUCGUUUGCUUUGGAUUUAUCCUCAUUAAUUCCAAUGCAUGAAGGUCCAGCCCUGCAGUCUCUGGGCUGGCCCUGCCAGGGGCCAUCACACCCACAACAAUUUCCCAGGCAGUCCAAGUCUCACUGCCCAUGGUUGUAGUUGCAAAUUGGGUGCAGCUGUGCACAGCCAGGGGUUUCCAUUUCCCUAGUGGGCCAUUGUUAAGGACAUGGAGCACAACUGGAAGAUGGGUUCUCCAUGGGGACAGGUUCCCAUCUCCUAAUUUUUCCACUGCUCUUUUAACAACCCCUUCACCUGUUCAACAAAUCCUGCAGCUUGUGGAUAGUCUGGUUCAUGAAAAACCCUGCAGUCUUCAUCACAGUAUUUUUCACAGUAACAGACAAAGCAUUCUGCAUCACAGUAUCAGCAAACCCUGUAAAAUAGACAAUUUUAUCCCCUCCUCCUUUUUUCAUUGUAUACAAUCUCACAAAGUUUACCUCUGACAUUAGGGUCCUGGCCAAUCCUUUUCUGUAGAGUGUUUGAUGUUACAUCCCUGAGCAGCCAAAGCUACCAAAUUAGUAUUGUCAGCACUAUUUCACAUUAUUACUAUUUUAUACGUAGAUAUAGAUAUUGAUAUAGAAAUAUAGAUAUAGCUAGAUAGAUAUAGACAUACAUAUAAAUAUAUAUAUUAAGGCCUUAUUAUACUAUAAAUAUGUACAUAGUUAUUUAUGAUAUUAAUAUUUCACUUGCACAAAUGCAUGGGAGCUCAAGAUUAAAACCUUCUUCUGUUGCUCCAUGUGGGAGCAUUCCAACAAUAAUCGUUCCUUCUGAAGGUGCUAUUUCCAAUGUACUGUUAACAAAUUCAUCUUUGUCUGCCCAAACCCACAAGUUCUUUUCCUUUCCCAUAUGCAAUUUUUUGAUAACUUUUAAGACAUCCAGGGGUUCAGCUUCUUUUAACCAACUGCCCCACUGCUCACACAGUGCUGCGACCUCAGCCCACUCCAGAGCCAGCCAACUCCAGGGAAGGGCUUCCCAUCUGGGAAUUUCUGAUGCCACUGAUUCCUCACAUUUACAUUUAACAAGUGACAUUUUGCUGUGAUCUGGCCAGACUCUGCCAGUUUUGUUUAACCAGUGGGCAGGGUCAGCCUCAAAGACACAGACUCCAACUGAAGGAAUCAGUGUCAUUUACUGCAGCUCAAAGCAGCAAAGGAUCACAAAAGGUGCAGCUCAGCAAUGCACCCAAUCAUCACCACCAAAGAUUGCAGCAGUGAAUAAGAAAGAUCCAGCAUCAUUUACCCUCAGACUUCACCAUCCCCCAGAUCCACACAGCAGCAGGGGAAGCUGUCCCAGCCAAGGGCUGCAGAGCCACUCCUGGACACUGGGAAUUCCUGCAGGUGCCUCCAGCCACAGAGAAAUGGAUCAUACACCCUGUACAUAUUACCCAGUCACAGAAAGAGUCACUGCUAUAAUUAUUAGCUUUUCCCUGCGUGGAAACACGUUCCUAGGGCAUGCCUGGCUGAACCUCAUCAAGAAUUACAAUUUUAUCGGGCUGAGAUAAAGCUCAGUGGAAAUGCAGCCCUCGGUGAGCGUGGCAGGGAGCUCCAGGACAGGACACCUGGGCACCGGACCAUGAAAGCCUGAGAGGGAACAGCCAGCAAAUUACUGCCUCUGCAGGAAGUCUGGAAUGUUUCAUUCUAUUUCUUUCACAUAUUAAUGUUGCAUUGACAGCUGCUCAAGCUUAAAACAUCUUUAACUGAAAGGUUAAAUGAGAGACAUGGGAAGAUCCCAAAGAAAAGGUUCAUCUCUCUUUAUAGUUAUGUCAUAUGGAUUUGUGUUACCCAGUGGCAAGUCUUUCUAGAUGCAAUUUAUUCACAGUGAGUACUUGAAGCUUCUUGUAUCCCUUACUUCCUUUUAUUUGUGCAAGGCUGUUCAAUACAACAUCUGCAUCCAUGCUUCCUAAUAGCUUCAUCUGUGGAUCUCUGUAAGUGGGGUUUUUUUGCAUUGUAAGAUGUACACAAAAGGUUUGUUGUUGAUUACACAUAUAAUUUCUUACAAGUCAACACUGCUGUUGUAAAGAGGUUCUAUAGCAAAACAUAUUUUGAACUGUUUUUUUCAGGCACCAACUUUCCUUUCAGUUUAAGACAUGGUUUUAAUUAUAAAUAAAAUUAAAUUAAAUUUUGAUUAUAAUGUAUAAAA